UUCCGGUUGGUUGAUCCUGCCGGACCUGACUGCUAUCGGAUUGAUACUAAGCCAUGCGAGUCUUUGUAGCAAUACAAGGCGGACUGCUCAGUAACACGUAGUCAAUCUACCCUAUGGAUGGGGAUAACCUCGGGAAACUGAGAAUAAUACCCAAUAGAUCAUAAUGCCUGGAAUGGUUUAUGGUUCAAAUGAUUUAUCGCCGUAGGAUGGGACUGCGGUCUAUCAGCUUGUUGGUGAGGUAAUGGCCCACCAAGGCUAUAACAGAUACGGGCUCUGAGAGGAGACGCCCGGAGAUGGGUACUGAGACACGGACCCAGGCCCUAUGGGGCGCAGCAGGCGAGAAAACUUUGCAAUGUGCGAAAGCACGACAAGGUUAAUCCGAGUGUUUUCUGCUAAAGAAAUCUUUUGUCAGUCAUAAAACCACUAACGAAUAAGGGGUGGGCAAGUUCUGGUGUCAGCCGCCGCGGUAAAACCAGCACCUCAAGUGGUCAGGAGGAUUAUUGGGCCUAAAGCAUCCGUAGCUUGCUGCAUAAGUUUUCGGUUAAAUCCAUACGCUCAACGUAUGGGCUGCCGGGAAUACUGUGCAGCUAGGGAGUGGGAGAGGUAGACGGUACUCGGUAGGAAGGGGUAAAAUCCUUUGAUCUAUUGAUGACCACCUGUGGCGAAGGCGGUCUACCAGAACACGUCCGACAGUGAGGGAUGAAAGCUGGGGGAGCAAACCGGAUUAGAUACCCGGGUAGUCCCAGCUGUAAACUAUGCAAACUCAGUGAUGCAUUGACUUAUGGUCAAUGCAGUGCUGCAGGGAAGCCGUUAAGUUUGCCGCCUGGGAAGUACGUACGCAAGUAUGAAACUUAAAGGAAUUGGCGGGGGAGCACCACAAGGGGUGAAGCCUGCGGUUCAAUUGGAUUCAACGCCGGAAAUCUCAUCUCUAGAGGAU
rnacentral:rRNA from 1 species